rnacentral:tRNA from 1 species
GGUCCCGUCGUCUAGAGGUCUAGGACGCCGGCCUCUCAAGCCGGAAACGGCGGUUCGAACCCGCUCGGGACUGCCA